CAGCGGCGAAAGCACGGAGGCCGAACCAGUGGACUUCUGAACACUCAUGCUGUUCCACAUCCAUGGUUAAGUGACCACCGUUUAUUCUGCAAUCAGAGAGUCGAGCUGGCAGAACUGAAGUUCCUUGGAUCCAGGACUGACUGAUCCAUUCACCAUUCAGCAUGCAUUUGUUCAGCACUGUGUGGCAUAAUGUGGUGUAAAGAAUACGUGUUUUAGAGUUAAGAAAACUGGAGUUUGCAUCCAGGCUCUCUCACUAGCUCUGUGAUUUCAGUAAAAUUACUUCACCUUUAUGACAUCUACGGCAUGAUGACAUCUAUGGACAUAGGUUGUUGUGAUGGAUACCCAAGAAUAUAACUCAAGAGAGCCAUAGCAGGACCAGCUGAUCAGAAGACUCUCUGCUCCAGGAAUGCUGUUAGAAAGAAGUGCCCCUGUGCAGGAGCAACUAGGGACAGCCAACUCCUUCCAGGCUGGGUGGAGUUAGGAAGAGGAGUCCAUUUGCUGUCCCUGCUGGCUGCGUGAUGACCAGCCAGAUGUGCCAAGGCCUGUGAGACCCAGCCUGCAAGACAGCCUUUGGAGACAAAUACGGUCACAAGGAGUCUAAAAAUAAAGUGACAUGGACCCCUCUAGAAUUCCAACAACCCUGACCACACCUGGAGCUGCUGCACCAACUGACAUCAAUGAGGAGAGCGUCGAUACAGGCUCUUGAAGAUGGGAAGAAGCUGCGAGAGACAAAUUAGGGGGACAGCUGGUGAAAGCCAUGGAUAGACUUAGCCAGAUUCCAAAAUGUUUUAAAAGCAUUUCUCCAAAUAUCUGUCUUUUAAUGUCCUAAAAACAAAAAUAUUGCCUCCGUCUGUGUCAACUUUUACGUUAAACUUAAGUAUUUGUUCUACUGCUUUACGGAAGAAAGAAUACAAGAACAUGGCCUGGCACUUGGGUAACUUAAGACAAUUAAAUAGCAAAUGAUGAAACUAUAAACCUAAUUGACAGUGGGCUCCAGACUGAGAAUUGCAGUUCAAUUCCAAUUCUUUCAUUGCAAAGCUUAGUUUAACCAUGCAAUAGCCACAAAACUUUUAUUUAGAUAGCACUUUACAGUUUAUAAAGCAUGCUCACACAUAUUAUCUCAAGUACCCCCAAUAGAAGAAUAUUACAUAAUGGCUAGAGGGACACAUUUGGCCUUUAUUGUAAGGGGCAAAAUUAUCUUAGCCAUAUCUUUGGGGACUGAUAAUUCCACACUGCAGAUGGAAGUCUGAAGGUUGAGACAAGAACUCCAAAUCCUGUGGAAUCUAGAAAAAGCCAGACUAACUAUACAGAUGUCAAGGUAUACUCUGGUACUAGGUCUGUAUGUACAUAUCUAAUUUCAGCAAGCUCAAAUAACAAUUUGCCAAGGGCUGUCUGAACUCUGCGAUUGUAAUCUAGAAGUCAAAACUCAAAGCAAGAAGACAGGUGAGUUUCUGCUUUCCCCACUCAUCUCCUGGGUGGGUGGCACAAUGAUAUGCCAGGCUGUGCGUUCUCUCCUCCCCACAUCAGGGCCCACUUAGCAUCACCCAAUUGCAAACCGCUACUCUCAAUUUUUAGGGAAACCAAAUAGUUUAAACUUCUCUGCAAAGACAAUACACUACUAGAAAAGUGUCUACUGUUUCCUUGGUGUCUAGUAGAUUAAAAGAUACUCCCUGUCCCUUUAGCCUUGCAUUUUUGGAAAGUUUCUCACUUCAGAUUUGGAAAGCGACAAGGAGAUCUCAAUAGUUUUUAAAAGCCUCAGACCUAAGUUCUUGUAGCAACAGUACCUUCUAAGAGCCUCCAUCUUGCCUUCUGCACCUUUAGAGGUGCACCCACAAAAAGGACAUAACAAGUCCAUUUUAACACUCUAUUCCUUUUGGUCUCUAAUAGGAAGUUAAAUUAAGAAUAUUAAAUCCCCGUUUUUUUCUUCAAGGAGUUUUAUGGGUUCAGGUGUUAUUUUUAAGU